AUCCACAUCUUAUUCAUGUAGUUUUAACUGAAUUCUCUUACAUUUACACAUGCUGUUCAGUAUUUUCACUGACCUUUGACACACAUAGAAGAAUAACUUGUAGAUGCUUAUUCUCACUGACACAUCUAAAACCACAACAAGUAGAACUUUAAAUUGAACAAUGCCAAUAACUAUUCUUUACUUUAAUCAUUA